GUAUCAUCUGCUUCACGUCCCGCAUUUACUUAACGCGACCAGGCCUUCUUUUUCUUGAAGUGCUCUUUGAGCCUAUGUGGUUCCAGCAUGAGUCUCCUUGGGGGAUAUGUUAGGGGAUGCUGUCAGAACAACUACUUCUUGAGAAGUCCAAGGAACCGGCAGAAACCUUUACCAAAAAGAUGAUCAACUCAGAUACUGCUGCAGUGCAAAAGGACAGGCAAGGAGAAAGUGUGAGUUACAUACA
rnacentral:lncRNA from 1 species